UCUGGCAUACCCAUUUCUUUGCAGUAAAGUUUUUUGAAUGAUAAUUGGAUCUACUGCAUAAUCUUCUUUUCUGAUAUAUAUACUAGCUUGUAUAGUGUUUUAUUGUUUCUUACUGUUAAUUUAGUUUACUUUGUGGGUUCGAAUGGAAUAAAGGAACUGUUUUAAUUAGCCAGUGCUUUGAAUGAUCAGGGAAUAAAAAUGAGAAUGGGAUGUUUCAUCAUAUGAUGCUUUAAUGGAAGAAUUUUCUUGUCUGACAGAAGAGGCUCUGGGCGCAUUCGUACCUAUUAUUGUGUGUUGUGUAUAUUGUCACUUUGAGGUUUUGCUGCAGUAUCUUGAUGGCUACAAAAUACAUACUGUUACUGAGGAGAAUUAGAGAGAAAUUUUGUACCUGGAGUAGUGUUGUCAAUUAAGGCUUUGACUGCGCCUGUUAUCAUAAAGGCUCGGUGAUAGAUGAUCUAUGGCCAACACGAGUUCGCAAGAAGGUUGGUUGGACCGUGUCUUGAUGCGCUAAAACUCCAUGCUCGUGCCAAGUGUUCUUGGCAGGCCCAGACGGAGAGCUUAUUUGGUUUUCUAUGUGAUCCCACAUUAUGAGUGUUCACUCUGUCGCAAAGAUAUGAGAUUUGCGGCUGACAUGGGAGAAUUAUUGCGACAGUUCCAAUGUAUCUAAGCCGACAUUAGAAGUAAAUUUAAUAAAAGAUCAUUUCUUUAGCAAAAUGUGUGUGGAGAAUAUGUGUGUAACAGUAGUUAUCCGAGACAAAGUAGUUUUCUCUGUGGUUUAGACUGUGCGAAUCACGACCUAUUUUUCAAUGCAGAAGUGGUGUAUGUAGUGCAGAAUAGUGAGUGGACCAGAGGCUGUCAAAAUGACAAAGUAGAGUUAUCAGUUGGAUUAUCAGUUGUGUGACAUUUGCUUCUUUUUAUGUUCUUAUCAAUGGUGAACCAUCAUAGUUAUUUGCUGCUUCCUUUUUAUGUAUAUAGGAUGAUGGGUAUGAAUAAAUCUUCUAUAAUAUCUUG